rnacentral:rRNA from 1 species
UACAGGGGGUGCAAACGUUGCUCGGAAUUAUUGGGCGUAAAGCGCGCGUAGGCGGCCGCUUAAGUCGGAUGUGAAAGCCCCUGGCUCAACUGGGGAAGUGCACCCGAAACUGAGUGGCUUGAGUACUAAAGAGGGUCGCGGAAUUCCCGGUGUAGAGGUGAAAUUCGUAGAUAUCGGGAGGAACACCGGUGGCGAAGGCGGCGACCUGGGUAGAUACUGACGCUGAGGCGCGAAAGCCAGGGGAGCGAACGGG